rnacentral:siRNA from 1 species
AAACAAUUGCCUUCUCGCCAACCU